rnacentral:lncRNA from 1 species
UACAACACAACCAUUGCAAGAACUCUCCUUCAGUCUACUAAGUUUCAUAUUUUGGUGAAAUUGGUAAAAUAAUAAACAAAAGUUUGAGCUUUAAUCCGAAUCAUCCUCAUCCAUCGAAAACAAGAAAAUACACUUGCUUCUCUGUUCGCUACGGACUUGAUGAAAUCGGGCAGAAAAUGAGGCGAUUUGGAACUUCGUUGCGGACCUGAAUCGAGUCGGUAAAGUGGUAAAGCUUGCUGUUUUUAGCCCCUUUGAUUUUGCUCUUGAUGCGUUGUGAAAUUUGAUGUUCUAUCAAUCUCGUUGAAAUGAUAAACGCUUUGCCUUUUUCUGCUCUUUCAAUUUUAUUUCUUCAAAUUGUCAUUUAACAAUUUUUUUUUCUUUGUUUUGAAAAUUGUGGAUCCGGUUCAUACUAUUACUGAACAAGCAAGAAAAACUAGCAAAAAGUUACGUUCUUCUCGAGGAAUUUGAGAAACACAGAGUCGAAGAUGAGGUAUUAUUAUUAUUUAGUUUUUGGAUAUUUUAAUUUUUCCUUGAAUUUAGAUUUUUCUCAUUUUGUAAUGCAGUUUCAUCGAUUGGUUGUAAAUAGGGAUCUCAAAUUCACCAACUUUGUGGAGGUUAGCUAAACUCAGGGGGACGCAGAAAUUUUACAUUAGGAUCACUUUCAAAUUUUUAAAAAAAGUAACGAAAUUUUUUUUAUUACUUUAUGUGCAUUAUAAACUGUUAUACUAUUUUUUCAUUUCGAUUAUUUUUACAUAUAAAUUUUUUUUAUAUAUAUAAAAAAAUUAGAUUAUUUUUAGGAUUUUUUAUUAUUGUUACUUUUUCCUCUCAAUCAAUUAUUUUUUUUAAAAAUAAUCUAAUAAAUUUCCUAAUAAAAUUUUUGACGUCAUUUGAAAAAAAUUUAAUUAAUCGAGAGGAAAAUGUAACAAUAAUAAAAAAAAAAUCCUAAAAUUGAUUGAAUUUUUUUAUAUAUAUAAAAAUUUUUCAGAUAUAAAAAUAAUUAAGAUGAAAAAGUAGUAUAACAAUUUAAAACCCCUGUGAAGUAAUAAAAAUUUUAUUAAGAAUUUUUACGUAAAAAAAAAAAAAAUUUGACGUCAUACCACAUAUAAAUUUUCAUAAUAAAAUGAUGUAAAUUAUAUUGAGAAAUUUGUCGAGCAAAAAUAAUAAACAUUAAUAAAAUAAUUGAUUUAAAAAAACGAGUUAUACGUCUCUUUUUAGCAUACAUGUUUGACGUACGUUUAUUUAUUUUUGAUAUUCAUUUAGAUCAUUCGAUAUUUUUAUGAUAUAAUUCUCGAAAUGAGUUUCGAGAAAAUAUAGAAGAUUUAUAGAUAUAGCUAGCGUAUAAUCGUCGAAUUUUUUUUUUAAAUUAGCUUGUUAUCGAAAUUCUCGAAAUAUUAGUUUGGAACAGCCUAUUUUGACGCGUCGUAAUUAACAUUUGCUACGAUUGACCAUUUCGCAUAACAUUAACGAUGUGAAAUACUAGACCGUGAGUAUUUCAAAAUUAUAUUAAGAAUGUAAUAUUUGAAUUUCAUUUGAUAUUCCUUAGUAAACCGAAAAAAAAAUUUGCAAAAACUGGAGGGUCAAGUGACCCUAGGGGACCACCCUUGGGUUCGCCACUGGCUAUACUAUUAGGUUUUAUUUAUUAAAGUUUUAAUUUUGAGCCAACAAUUGUUUCUUUUAUCAAUUUUUGCGCUAUUACACUUCGAGGUUUAAUUAAAACAUGAGAUUUAUUUAUGAUACUGUGCUGCACUACAUGUUGUUCUGACGAAAUGUGGACGAACUUGAAUUCAUGUUUUGUGGUUAUAAUGAUCUCAUCGAUUGCUUGUAACUUGUUGGCCGAUGAAUCAGUGAAGCAUCAAAAUAAUAUGUAUGAAAGGCAAAGGGUGUCCAUUUAGGCUUGUACUCAACUGUUUGAUAUCCUCUUUAAAUUUCUCUAAUAUUGUCCCAAGAGUUCAGUUAGAUUCUUCAGUCAAUGUUUCAAGUUUUAUAUUUACAUUUGAUGAAUUCUUUUUAAUUUUUAUCUUAUUUGCUGAUUGAUUAGCUACCAAGAGAGAUGCCUGCUUUAGAGGCAAACAAGGUGCUUUUUCUGGUUAGGAUUCCUUUUCCUACGAAAAAGUUUAUGGGUUUUCAUGGGUAGCUCCAGUUCGUCGCAGUUUGACGUUUUUUGGUCGUUUUAGUAAUGUAAGAAAACCUUUCACUCUCCAGUCUUGGAACUAAAGGAACUAUUGCAAAGUUGAAUAGUCUUGACCUUGUUUUUGAUGUAGAAAUGGUAAAACACGUCAAAUUUGUUGUCUACCUGCUCAUCUAUUGUAGAAUUAUAGUCUUAGAUAAGCUGUCUCUUGUCAUAUUUGAAUUGAUAUUUGUCCUCUUGCAACAUAAAGAUUGAAAUUUGUGUUUGAUUUCUUGAAGCUGUUAAAUGAAGAAGACAUCACCGACUUUCCAAAUUAAUCCAUCUUCUCUGUCGACAUACUAUAAGAUGCUGGAAGUCUCUAAACUUCUUGCCUAUCCACCUCCAUGAUUUGAUGAAUCUAGAGGCCAUUUUUACCUCCAUAUUGGAAGAAGCUGUUAAAACAUGAUCUGACAUGAAUGUCCAUACACCAAUAUUUGAAGGUUAUAUUUUAUCCAGCACCUUGAAGUUUAAUUGACCUCUUCCAGACUAUUAAGUUCCUAUCUGGAAACUGUCAUCUACAUUGUUACACUUCAAAUCUUAUGAUUAGUUCCAAUUAUCUCAGCAAUAAGGACAUAUUUCCUAUUAAAUACCAAUAGCUGUUGUAAUUUAACAGAUAUAGUUUUGUUGGAAAGUUUUGAAUGAAUUAAUCUGUGACGAUUCUUGGACCAGGGUUUUAUAUUAGCCUCUAUUUCAAGUUCUGAUUCUUAACUUGUAGUUGUGUACUUUAGGCAAUGUAACCAGCAAUGUCUCCUUUGCUGUUGUUGCUAUCUCAUUCAAUCACACAAUUAAAGGUAAUGCUCAACCUAAAAUACAGGUGUAGAGAUGGCAUCAUUGACUGGGUUGUCUUUCAACUAGAUUGCCUUCAUUAGUGCUUUGAUUUCCAAUAUCUCCUUCACUUGCAGGAGCAUAUAUUCAAAGAAAGCUAUGGUUAAUUGGGUGAGGUAUAUUUUAUUAGAUUUCCAUUUUAUCUUGAUGUUAUGAAAGUUGUAAAUAGGCAGAGUGCAGUCUGCAUUCACACACUGGGGCUAUUCGUCUCUAAUCAAUGCUUCUUUUGCAGACCGAUAAGGAUAGCAC